CACCAGUGCAGGUUCACGGUUUCAUGGGGGGAACGUCAAUUCAGUAAGACGAGUGACGAGGCGCGUCUCAGCGGAACCCCACCCACUGCCGUCACCAUCGCUGACCACUCCAUUGGUUGAUGUGGAAUAAGAAGAAAUCCCUGAGGCCCAGGAGAAGGUAAAUCCCAGCGAGCUCAGCCGUGCGUCCUCUGGGACGGCUGCAUUGCCCUCACACCUGACCUCCAUGUGGGGCAAGCUCAGCCGUGCGUCCUCUGG
rnacentral:lncRNA from 1 species